CUUCCUCCUCUUCCUCCAGACCCUGGAAGUCGAGCUCCUGCUCCUCAGGAAUGGGCUCCUUGGGGCCCUUCUGCACAGAUACCUUGAGAGGCAAGAAGGCCCCGGAAGCAUCGAAGGUGCCCAUUUCUUCAUCCUCAUCGUCCAGACACCACUCCGGGAGCCCAUCCUUGUCGUCAUCAAAGCCGUCAGGCCCUCGGCACCUCCGGAGCCAGCAGAGCGGGGGCCGCCAUCUGGGCAGGAAAAGUCGGAGGAGGAGAAUCGGUAUCCCAGUCAAGCCAGA